AUACGUAGGAAGCAAGCGUUAUCCGGAUUUACUGGGCGUAAAGUGAGCGUAGGUGGCCUUUCAAGUCGGAUGUGAAAUCUCCUGGCUUAACUGGGAGGAGUCAUUCGAUACUGUUGGGCUAGAGGACAGCAAGGGAAGGUGGAAUUCCGGGUGUAGUGGUGAAAUGCGUAGAUAUCCGGAGGAACACCAGUGGCGAAGGCGGCCUUCUGGGCUGUAUCUGACACUGAGGCUCGAAAGUGUGGGGAGCGAGCAGAAUUAGAUACUCUGGUAGUCCACACCGUAAACUAUGGACACUAGGUAUAGGGAGUUUCGACCCUCUCUGUGCCGAAGCCAACGCUUUAAGUGUCCCGCCUGGGGACUACGGCCGCAAGGUUAAA
rnacentral:rRNA from 1 species